rnacentral:rRNA from 1 species
UGCCAGCCGCCGCGGUAAUACAGAGGGUCCGAGCGUUAAUCGGAAUCACUGGGCUUAAAGAGUGCGUAGGCUGACGUGUAGGUACUUUGUGAAAUCCCUCGGCUCAACCGGGGAAUUGCUUGGUAAACCAUGCGUCUUGAGGCAGGUAGGGGUGGUCGGAACGCUAGGUGGAGCGGUGGAAUGCGUAGAUAUCUAGCGGAACGCCAACGGAGAAGUCAGGCCACUGGGCCUGUCCUGACGCUGAGGCACGAAAGCGUGGGUAGCAAACGGGAUUAGAUA